rnacentral:rRNA from 1 species
CAGUAGCCGCGGGAAUACGUAGGGUGCGAGCGUUAAUCGGAAUUACUGGGCGUAAAGCGUGCGCAGGCGGGUUUGUAAGACAGGCGUGAAAUCCCCGGGCUCAACCUGGGAAUGGCGCUUGUGACUGCAAAGCUAGAGUGCGGCAGAGGGGGGUGGAAUUCCGCGUGUAGCAGUGAAAUGCGUAGAUAUGCGGAGGAACACCGAUGGCGAAGGCAAUCCCCUGGGCCUGCACUGACGCUCAUGCACGAAAGCGUGGGGAGCAAACAGGAUUAGAUACCCCAGUAGUCCCUGUCUCUUAUAC